rnacentral:tRNA from 1 species
GCGCCUGUAGCUCAGUUGGAUAGAGUGCUGGCUUCCGGAGCCAGAGGUCAGGAGUUCGAAUCUUCUCAGGCGCU